GUGCUUGAUUCGGCAGCACGUAUACUAAAAUUGGAACGAUACAAGGAAGAUUAUCAUGUCCCUUGCACAAAGAUGACACGCAAAUUCAUGAAGCAUUCUAUAUUUUU